UAUAAACAAAAACCACUCAAAUCUGAAGACAAAAGAUAUCCCUUCCAGUGGGUGUGCAACCUUUUAUAAACACCAAAAAAGGGAAUAACUAGUAAAAUUAAGUUAAAAUUUUAGAAACCGAAGACUAUCAGAUAUGAGUGGUUAUGGUUAUUGUUUUUAAAGCCAACAGGUAAUAGAAAGGUAUAUGUUUCAGUUUUAUUAGACCUACUCAGCAAUGCAUACUAUUUGUUGGUGAGAUUUAGAAGUGAUCAGUUUACAUAUAGAAAUACUGACUGUAUUAACAUUUAAUAUUAUUACCCAUAAAAUGGUUUGGGGAAAUAUUUCAGAAAAGCAUUUUUCAUUCUAGAUACAUGUGCAGGAAGGUCCUAAAAUGUUUUUGUUUUUUUCCUGAACUAUAUCAAUGGGAGAUAGCCUAAAUAGAAACAAAUGUUAUAUUCAGUAAUCGAGCAUCUGAAAGUUUUUUGCAGUGGAAGAUAAAACAUCUGAUUCAGUUGUAUUAUGUCCAUUAUCUGAUUUAGUUGUGUUCUGCUCAUUAUGCUGGUGCUUAAAAACCUGUAUCAUUCUAAGUGCACAUCUUUAAACGUGUCCAUUCCAUUUUCUUUUAAAAUGUUCAAGCCAUGAUCACCAUUUUUUUUAAAAGAGCAUAACCAUCUUACAUUCUGAACAUGACUCAGCUAUUUUGAAAUCAUUCACACUAUGACCAUCCCAUCCCUUUUUCCCAGCAGGUUAUUUUUCCCUAAGUGCAUAACCAUUACAAUGGUGACUAUUUCUAUUUUUUGUAACCCAAAAUCUGCCUCGUACCACACUGCAAUUUUUUUAAGGACAGCACUGGAGAUAAUGUAAAGCAGAAUGCACUAUGCUUUAAAAAUAAAAGAUGGAAUCAUCGUUUAACGUCCGUUCUCCAUGCUAGCAUGGGUUGGACAGUUCGACCGGGGAUCUGGGAAGCCAGAAGGCUGCACCAGGCUC